UUGAUGUUUUACAGAAAACAAUCAAAUCAUAAAUCCAGUCAAUGAUUACACAUCAACCAAUCAUCUGUUGACCACAAAACUGAUAAACCAACUUUAUGAUCUGCUUCAUGUUCAGACCAUGUCCUUCUGUCCAAAGUCCACAGGAAUCUGCUUCCUGGCUGCAUUCAGAACCGGUUUGAAACUGGAGCCGGUUGGACUUCAGGACACAAAGCGGUUCCAAAGAUCCAGAGGAAGAAGUCAAAGAAAGAACAGCUGCAUUUGUGUCAGAGGGGUAAAGGUGGAAGAUGUGUGUGAGCUGAUGUGGAUCCAGUGAAUCCAGCAGCAUGGAUCAGGAGGGAGGCCCUCCCUCUAAAAGCAGAGAUGGCCUCAGACUUAUCUUCACUUUAGCCUUGGAGGUUCCCUCCAGCAGUAACC